rnacentral:sRNA from 1 species
CGAAAGUGAAGCUAGAAUGCAGGAGCAGAACAAACGGAACCGUAACAUUGACAAAA